rnacentral:rRNA from 1 species
UCUAACAUGUGCGCGAGUCAUUGGGACUGCAAAGCCUAAAGGCGCAAUGAAAGUGAAGGUCGAUCUCAGCGUCGACCGAGGGAGGAUGGCUCGCGUCAAGAUGCGAGUCCGCACUCCCGGGGCGUCUCGUGCUCAUUACGAGCAGAGGCGCACCCAGAGCGUACACGUUGGGACCCGAAAGAUGGUGAACUAUGCCUGGUCAGGACGAAGUCAGGGGAAACCCUGAUGGAGGUCCGUAGCGAUUCUGACGUGCAAAUCGAUCGUCGGAACUGGGUAUAGGGGCGAAAGACUAAUCGAACCAUCUAGUAGCUGGUUCCCUCCGAAGUUUCCCUCAGGAUAGCUGGCACUCGCGUGAGCGAGUCUCAUCUGGUAAAGCGAAUGAUUAGAGGCCUUGGGGCCGAAACGACCUCAACCUAUUCUCAAACUUUAAAUGGGUGAGAUCUCUGGCUUGCUUGAACGUUGAAGCCACGAGAUAUCAUGGAUCAGAGUGCCAAGUGGGCCAAUUUU